ACCGGCGGCUCGAGUGGUGGCCACUAUUACUGGGCUUAAAGCGUUCGUAGCUGGCUUGUUAAGUCUCUGGGGAAAUCUUCCGGCUCAACCGGAAGGCGUCUCAGGGAUACUGGCAGGCUAGGGACCGGAAGAGGUGAGAGGUACGCCAGGGGUAGGAGUGAAAACCUGGAAUCCGUGGGGGAACACCUAUGGCGAAGGCGUCACACCAGGACGGCUCCGACAGUGCGGCACGUAACCUAGGAGAGCAAACAG
rnacentral:rRNA from 1 species